rnacentral:tRNA from 1 species
GGGCGAGUGGCGGAACUGGCAGACGCUGGGGACUUAAAAUCCCCUGCCCCGUAAGGGGCGUGCGGGUUCGAGUCCCGCCUCGCCCA